rnacentral:rRNA from 1 species
UACGGGGGGGAGCAAGCGUUGUUCGGAUUCAUUGGGCGUAAAGGGUGCGUAGGCGGCGCGGUAAGUCGGGUGUGAAAUCUCGGAGCUUAACUCCGAAACUGCAUUCGAUACUGCCGUGCUUGAGGACUGGAGAGGAGACUGGAAUUUACGGUGUAGCGGUGAAAAUGCGUAGAUAUCGUAAGGAAGACCAGUGGCGAAGGCGGGUCUCUGGACAGUUCCUGACGCUGAGGCACGAAGGUCAGGGGAGCAAACGGGG